ensembl:lncRNA
ACAGGCCACGCCCCCACCCUUGUCAUAUAGGGCAUUACGCCCCACCCUCACCUCAAUCUCCGCCCCUUUUUCCAUAUUUGGCCACUCCCACCUAUGCCCCACCCCUCUAUUACCAUAUAUGGUGCCAAAUCCCCAAGCCCCGCCCUUCUGUGGCCAUUUAUGGGCAGGCCACGCCCACAACUCCGAAUAAGGACAAGCCCCGCCCCUUUCUCCCAGGUUCGUGGCCGAUCUCCUCAAUGACGUCGCCCUGGUGCUGGAAAUCCUCGCUCCCUAUUGGCUGAGCUUUGGCCCCGCCCUCCUGGUCAUGGCGGCCGCGGCCAGGGUGGGACUGGGAGGGAACUGGGAGGGAACUGGGAUAAACUGGGAGGGACUGGGAUAAACUGGGAUGGACUGGGAGGGACUGGGAUGGACUGAGAGGGAACUGGAAGGGAACUGGGAGGCACUGGGAUAUACUGGGAUAUACUGGGAUAUACUGGGAUAAACUGGGAUGGACUGGGCGGGACUGGGAGGGAACUGGGAUAUACUGGGUUAUACUGGGAGGGAACUGGGAGGGACUGGGAUAAACUGGGACGAAACUGGGAGGGAACUGGGAUAUACUGGCAUAUACUGGGAGUGGACUGGGAAUGGACUGGGAGGGACUGGGAGGGACUGGGACAAAGUGGGUGGGACUGGGAUGGAACUGGGAUAUACUGGGAGGGACUGGGAUAUACUGGGAGGGACGGGGAUAUACUGGGAUGUACUGGGAAUGGACUGGGAUAUACUGGGAUAUACUGAGACAAACUGGGAUGGACUGGGAGGGACUGAGAUUUACUGGGAAUGUACUGGAAGGGAACUGGGACGGACUGGGAUAAACUGGGAAUGGACUGGGAUAAACUGGGAUGGACUGGGAAUGGACUGGGAGGGACUGGGAAUGGCUGGGAGGGAACUGGGAAUGGACUGGGAUAUACUGGGAAUGGACUGGGAGGGAGCUGGGUUAAACUGGGAACGGACUGGGAUAUACUGGGAGAGACUGGAAGGCACUGGGAUAUACUGGGAAUGGACUGGGAGGGAGUGGGAGGGACUGGGACAAACUGGGAUAUACUGGAUUAUACUGGGAGGGACUGGGAUGGACUGGGAGGGACUGGGAUGCCCCUGCUGGUUUAUACUGGUCCAUACUGGUCCAUACUGGUUUCCCUCCCCCAGGAGCCACCUGGACUGUGAGGCCAAGCAAUGGCGGUGAGGCCCCGCCCCUUUUCAUAUAUGGCCACGCCCACUUAAGCCCCACCCCUCUCUUUUUACCAUAUAAGGCACUGUUGCUAAGCCACGCCCCUUUUCCAUAUAUGGUAAUUAUAUGGCAAGCUUAAGCCCCGCCCCUUCCUUGCCAUAUAUGGCAGCAGUUUAAGCUCCACCCCCUUUUCCCAAUAUAAGGCAUUGUUUCUAUGCCACGCCCAUUUUCCAUAAAUAGUAAUAGGCUGCCAUUCUUAAGCCCCGCCCCUUCCUCACCACAUAUGGCAGGAGAGUUUAAACUCCACCCCCUUUCCCAUAUAUGGACAGGCCACGCCCCCACCCUUGUCAUAUAGGGCAUUACGCCCCACCCUCA